rnacentral:tRNA from 1 species
UGCGGGAUGGAGCAGUCUGGUAGCUCGUCGGGCUCAUAACUCGAAGGUCGUUGGUUCAAAUCCAGCUCCCGCUACCA